rnacentral:rRNA from 1 species
UACGUAGGGUGCAAGCGUUGUCCGGAAUUAUUGGGCGUAAAGAGCUCGUAGGCGGUUCGAUAAGUCGGGUGUGAAACCUCCAGGCUCAACCUGGAGACGCCACCCGAUACUGUCGUGACUAGAGUCCAGUAGGGGAGCGUGGAAUUCCUGGUGUAGCGGUGAAAUGCGCAGAUAUCAGGAGGAACACCAGCGGCGAAGGCGGCGCUCUGGGGCUGGAACUGACGCUGAGGAGCGAAAGCGUGGGUAGCGAACAGG